GAUGAACGCUGGCGGCGUGCCUAAUACAUGCAAGUCGAGCGAACAGAUGAGGAGCUUGCUCCUCUGGCGUUAGCGGCGGACGGGUGAGUAACACGUGGAUAACCUACCUAUAAGACUGGGAUAACUUCGGGAAACCGGAGCUAAUACCGGAUAAUAUAUUGAACCGCAUGGUUCAAUAGUGAAAGACGGUUUUGCUGUCACUUAUAGAUGGAUCCGCGCCGCAUUAGCUAGUUGGUAAGGUAACGGCUUACCAAGGCGACGAUGCGUAGCCGACCUGAGAGGGUGAUCGGCCACACUGGAGCGGAGACACGGUCCAGACUCCUACGGGAGGCAGCAGUAGGGAAUCUUCCGCAAUGGGCGAAAGCCUGACGGAGCAACGCCGCGUGAGUGAUGAAGGUCUUCGGAUCGUAAAACUCUGUUAUUAGGGAAGAACAAAUGUGUAAGUAACUAUGCACGUCUUGACGGUACCUAAUCAGAAAGCCACGGCUAACUACGUG
rnacentral:rRNA from 1 species